rnacentral:rRNA from 1 species
AUUGAACGCUGGCGGCAGGCUUAACACAUGCAAGUCGAGCGGGGGAGGUUGCUUCGGUAACUGACCUAGCGGCGGACGGGUGAGUAAUGCUUAGGAAUCUGCCUAUUAGUGGGGGACAACAUCUCGAAAGGGAUGCUAAUACCGCAUACGUCCGACGGGAGAAAGCAGGGGACCUUCGGGCCUUGCGCUAAUAGAUGAGCCUAAGUCGGAUUAGCUAGUUGGUGGGGUAAAGGCCUACCAAGGCGACGAUCUGUAGCGGGUCUGAGAGGAUGAUCCGCCACACUGGGACUGAGACACGGCCCAGACUCCUACGGGAGGCAGCAGUGGGGAAUAUUGGACAAUGGGGGGAACCCUGAUCCAGCCAUGCCGCGUGUGUGAAGAAGGCCUUUUGGUUGUAAAGCACUUUAAGCGAGGAGGAGGCUACUGGUAUUAAUACUACCGGAUAGUGGACGUUACUCGCAGAAUAAGCACCGGCUAACUCUGUGCCAGCAGCCGCAGUAAAAC